UCUACUUAAUAUGUACUGAUGCCACACUA
rnacentral:piRNA from 1 species